rnacentral:tRNA from 1 species
UGGUAGUUCGGUGGUAGAAUUCCCCCCUUCCACGUGGGAGACCCAGGUUAGAUUUCUGGCCA